rnacentral:rRNA from 1 species
UACGUAGGGUGCGAGCGUUGUCCGGAAUUAUUGGGCGUAAAGAGCUUGUAGGCGGUUUGUCGCGUCUGCUGUGAAAAUCCGGGGCUCAACCCCGGACUUGCAGUGGGUACGGGCAGACUAGAGUGUGGUAGGGGAGACUGGAAUUCCUGGUGUAGCGGUGAAAAUGCGCAGAUAUCAGGAGGAACACCGAGUGGCGAAGGCAGGUCU